CCUACGGGAGGCAGCAGUCGGGAAUUUUGGGCACUGGGCGCAAGCCUGACCGAGCAACGCCGCGUGGAGGAUGACGGCCUUCGGGUUGUAAACUCCUUUGAGGUGGGAUGAUAUGGACCGUACCACCAGAACAAGCCCCGGCUAACUCUGUGCCAGCAGCCGCGGUAAU
rnacentral:rRNA from 1 species